rnacentral:rRNA from 1 species
CCUACGGGAGGCAGCAGUGAGGAAUAUUGGUCAAUGGACGAGAGUCUGAACCAGCCAAGUAGCGUGAAGGAUGACUGCCCUAUGGGUUGUAAACUUCUUUUAUAUGGGAAUAAAAUGUUCCACGUGUGGGAUUUUGUAUGUACCAUAUGAAUACGGAUCGGCUAACUCCGUGCCAGCAGCCGCGGUAAUACGGAGGUUCCGAGCGUUAUCCGGAUUUAUUGGGUUUAAAGGGAGCGUAGGUGGAUUGUUAAGUCAGUUGUGAAAGUUUGCGGCUCAACCGUAAAAUUGCAGUUGAAACUGGCAGUCUAGAGUACAGUAGAGGUGAGCGGAAUUCGUGGUGUAGCGGUGAAAUGCUUAGAUAUCACGAAGAACUCCGAUUGCGAAGGCAGCUCACUGGACUGCAACUGACACUGAGGCUCGAAAGUGUGGGUAUCAAACAGGAUUAGAGACCCUAGUAGUC